UUCUAAGCAAAAAAUUUUAGCAGCCCUGAAGCCAGCCACUAGCUAACUAGAUAGGAAACAGGCAUUUACAAAGUAGUCAUGGAGUUAAGAUAGGCAGAAAGUCUGCAAAUCUCCAAAAGUGCUCCUUUACAAACAGGACUGUGAGAGACGCCAUUCCGGAGCAUCCCAGAGAGGUAGGUGAAACUAGUGACGGGUUCUCAAGGAGUCCAUACGGGUCAGCAGAGUUUGCCUUCACCUCAAGUUUCCUGAACAAAGAACUUUCCAAACAGGAUGGCAGAAGAGGCCAUUUCUUCUCCCCCACCCUCAAGGGCUACUUAGUCUGAGGCUUUCAUGCAAAUCCCCACACAAUCUUAAGACACCCCAGAAGUGUGGGAUACCAUAAUAUCUUUGGGAAAGAUCAGACGUACUACAACCUGCUCUAAAAUCUACCCCCCAGGCCCAUGAAGGGAGUCUGAGGGGCUGGAGAGAAGUGUUCAGAGACUAGACCAUCUCUAUCGGAGUCCAUGGGCUGUGACAAGUGGAGUUAGGCUGAAGGGUGGGGGCCCCAGUAGCCAGAGCUUCCCUCAGGAGAGCUCCCUCCCCAGGGCACAGAAGCGGGAGGUUCCCUAUUCCUCGAGCAGCGACUUCCGUUCUCCCUGCCAGGAGGCUUCGACUUGAAGAUCCAGCUACAUAUACCCCCUUCCCCACUGACCAUCACCCACCAAUGGUUCCAGGAUACGUGAGUUACCGAACCAGCCUAUACGUCUUAAGUGAAGAGCUGACACCAGAGCCAACCUGGAAGACACACACUGCUUAGGCAAAACUUGAGCGCAGUUUGCACUAAGGGGAGGGCGCUACGCGUAAGAGGAGCCUCUCGGCCACCACACUUGGAGCUCAGAGCAGGUGACUUAAGCAGGGAAGGGAGUACAGGGCUGUCAGUAGUUACUAGACCAGCAGUAAGCCAAGCUCCCUAUGGUUACCACUGGAGCCUCAUGGCUUGGAGUUAACCUUUAGUUUACCCUAUUUUAAUAAGUCAAGUGCUCAGACAGCUUAAGCAACUAACUCAAAACAUGAGAAAUAAAUGACCGAGGCCAGACUUAAGCCAUGCCUGGCCCUGAAGCCUUUAGGCUCUGGGGCCCACCACACUUCUCUGCCAUUGAGGACCUAUUAGGGAGAGUCAGGCAGAGUCAAGCUUUGUCACAAGCAGCUUCCCUGUAGGGAGUUCUACAGUCUAGAUUCUGCUAGUUCCUGAUCCUCGUUCUCCACUCAGACGGGAGGCGUUCUCACGGUGUAAAGUAGGAUACAAGAAGCCCAGACAAGCAGUUGGAUU
rnacentral:lncRNA from 1 species